GAAGAUCUUAUCAGAGCCAAAUUGUUUACAAAGGCCUAUUCUUCGAGAAUCAUUAGGUCCCAGCUUGCACCUGAAAAUGAUAGUUUUCAUCAUGCGAUGGUUCGAACAAAAUCUGACCCUGCUAAGAAGUACAAUGGAGGUGGAACAUUUGCAAGCUUUUAUACACUGCCUAAUGUCGGAGACUCACAGUAUACUUCUGGUCGAAUGAAAAUACAGAAUGAGCUUGAUAUCAUCCAAGCUGGUUGGACAGUAAAUCCUGCUAUCUACGGGGAUAAUAAAAAUCGGAUCUUCGUAUAUUUCC